GGGCAUGGGUAGAGAGCCCAUGAGAACCUGGUGCAGGUGGAAGGAAAGGGGACCCCACAGGGAAGGUAGAAGGGCCAGGGCUUUCCCCAGCAGUGGCCAGAUCUGAACAGAGAUGACUCUGUGUUGCUGUGGCCACUCCAGACCCCAGACCGCAGCCUGAUAUCCAAGCUCCCGAGGGAGCAGAAUGCAUCAGCCACCUCAGAGAGGAGGCGCAGCCCAGUCAGGGCCCCACGUUGUCACGGCUCCAGCUGUCCUCAGGAGGGAAACUGUCUUGCAAGCCUGGAGACUUCUGGUUGCUUCUCGGAGGAAAGCCCUGUCACCUCCUCACCACCGUCCCAUAAGACGGGACCCUGCGAGGCAGACGCAGCCUGCACACAGAGGAGGGAGGGGAGGCUGCUGGGGCUCCGGCCUGUGCUUUCGCCUCCAGACCAUGGAGCUUCUUCACCCACAUGCUGGGUGCCGUCCAGCCUGAGGCCUGUGUGCAGGGUCCCGGUUUCAAGCCCCGAUUCCCACCUGCUAACUGUGACCCAGGAAGCCCCACCCCCCGCAGCCCUCAGUUUCUUCACCUGCCAAACUCCCUGCCUUCGAGGUGAGAGAUUACAGACACCAUGAGAGAGGCCGUACUUCACAAUCCCCAAGUGUUAGAAGGCAGAGGGUCUUCCAGACAGCCACCACCAGGCCUGUGCUUUACAGAGGAGGAAGCUGAAAGGACUGGUCCAAGACCACACAGCGGGGAGCAGGUGGCAGCACGGACGCUCGAAGCUUGGUCUCUCGCUGUGGAGUUUUCUCUCGCCUGUCUCUACCGCUAUCAUCCUAAUACUGAAGCAUCAGGUCCUUUUUCAAGACACCACCAGCUACAAGCAGAGGGUCCCGCUGGGGCUCAGCUGCCCAACUCUGAUCAGAAAGAAGAGCUGUAAGUCUGGCUGGGCGGUGGCUCAUGCCUCUAAUCCCAGCACUUUGGGAGGCCAAAGAGGAUGGACUGCUUGAGCCCAGGAGUUCGGGACCAGCCUGGGUAAUGUGGCGAAACCCUGUCUCUACAAAAAAUACAAAAAUUAGCCAGAUGUGGUGAUGUGCGGCUGUAGUCCCAGCUACUCAGGAGGCUGAGGUGGGAGGAUCACUUGAGGCCAGGAGGUCAAGGCUGCCAUGAGCUAAGAUCACAACACUGCAUUCCGGCCUGGGUAACAGAGCAAGACCAUGUCUCUAAGAGAGGGGGGAAAAAAAGCCAUGGGUGUCUAAGCUGCAAGGCCCCCCAAAUCCCUGAAUCCCACUAACCAUCUCCCAAGUGAGUAGAGGGAGGCCAAGAGAGGGCAAGCAGCUGUCUCAUGUCUUCCCUGAAGGAACCCUCUCAUGGGACAGCUGGACACAGCCAGGCGGGAAGGACUCUUCACCAGCCCCGUCUCCAUAGUCCCGGCUGCCAUCACUGCUGGCAUCGACACUGACCCUCCAGCUCCAGCACCAGGUCACCACCCUGCCCCUCAUCCAUCCUCCUCCUCCACGCGUGAUGAAUGAGCUUUUCUCAUUCAAUCAUUCUCAGGGGCAGCAUAGCGUGGCCAGUAGGAAGGAGGAUGCGGGAGCCAGCCUGCCUGGCUCCACCACCCACCAGCUGCUUUUAUUCCCUGCCUGCUCUAGUUCCCUGGCUGUAAAAUGGGGAUACAAAUAAUAUCUUCCUCAUCAGGUCACUGGGAGGCUUAAAUAAGCCCAUACUGUAAAGUGCUUAGAACAGGGCCUGCCACGUAGUAAGUACUCCAUAAUUGCUAUCAUUCAUCCAUUCAUUCAUUCAUUCAUUCAUUCGUGAAUUCUAUCCUGCCUGUUUCUGAAAGAGUUGAGAUGACUCACAGUGGAAAUGCAAUGAUAACAGGCCUUUAAAUUCAGAUUAAAAGAACACAAGCCUAGGCUGCAGAGGAGAGAGUGUCCCAGAAUCUGAGCCAAGCAAGCCUCACCUGAAUACAACCUCCCGGCGUCUCAUCCAAAACAUAAAGGUUGCUGGUAUCAAUUCUCCUUUUCUGAUGAAAGGAAGCAUAACAGCUUUCCAGCGGAAUAGAAGAUUUUUUUUUGGUUCAAACUUUAUGAAUGACAUUAAACAAUGCAAUGAGUAGCCUCCCCCUCACCUCACCCUGUCCGCCUUUUUAAUCAACUCCUGAGAAAUGGGGUCUGCUCUUCUUCCCAUCCCACUCCCCAUCUCCAGACCCUGCGGAAGCCUGUGGUCCUGGAGAGCCUGAGAGCCCUCAGAGCGAUACCUUCAGCUAUCCCAGGAGAAGGACACUCUUCGCUUUCAGCACCAGGGGAAAACUAGGAAAAAGCCAAGCCACUGAGUCAAUGAGGGCCUUCCCUCAGCUGCAGACAGCAAGCCCCUUCCAGGCGCUUCCCCGCAGCUACGGCAGCAAGUGCCCCAGGGGCAGGGCCGGGAAUGCUCACUGAGAAAUCCCAGAGCUGCCUGCACUUCCUCUCACCGGCUUCCCCUUCUCUCAGCAGCCACAGGCACGGGAAAGCUGCUGAUUCCCGGAGGACCACUUACACCAAGCACUGUGAGCUGAUCGAUGGCAGAGUCUCUCCAGCUCAUGAGUCUUCAGUGACUCCCCAUUGUCCAUGGAAAACAGAAGACACCUGAGGCCUUGCACAGUGGACCUUAUUCUCAUCCCUCCCUCAGGAGAAUCCUCUGCCUCGAGCCGAAGGCCGUGGGCUCUGCAGACUCCAGGCCUCUCCUUCCCAGGGCGGUCUUCCCUUUCCCUAUGCUCAAGGCACAGCCCAAGUCCCACCUCCUCCAUUGCAAGGGACACCACCCUCUGAAUUCCUGUUGGGGAAAGAGCCUAGUUUUGCAGCCAGAUAGGCCCGAGUUAGAGUCUCAGCUCAGUUCCAAUCCCAUUAGCUGGUUGCAAGUCAUUAACUUUGUCAACCUUCAGUAAAUGGAAAUCAGGCCCACACUGUAGGUGCCUGGGGGUGCUGAUGGUUGAGUGGAAUCUGUUCUUUUGACCUUCCCAGCAUCUUUCCCCUUCCCAGCAUCCUUUCCCCUUUCUUUUGGUGAUGUCGCCUGGAUUUUCUGUUGGGUAUGUGGUCCAGGGGUGGCUGACCUCACUUCCUGGUUCCAGCAUAAGAUCAUGACUGAGAGCUGGCCAAUGAGAAUAUUCCCUCGCCCCAGCCACAGAGUCAGAUUCCCGGGGAUGAACUUGUGAGUCAAAACAGGCUGGUGGGAACACACUUGGGGUGUUAGCUGGAGUUAUUGAAGCUUUCUUUCCCACUGGAGUCACUAGGUAGAUAGAAGGAAAGCUGAAGCCUUUAGCCACUGCUGUGGGUUGAAGUGUGUACCCCAAAAAGAUAUGUUCAAAUUCUAAUCCCCUGCACCUUUGGAGGUGGCCUUGUUUGGAAAAAGGGUCUUUGCAGAUGUAGGCAAGUGAAGAUGAAGCCAUCCUGGAUCAGGGUGGCUUGUGGCUUGUGUCCAAUGCCUUGUGUCCUUCUAAGAAGAGAGAAAUCGAGACACAGACACACACAGGGAAAAGGCCGAGUGAUGACAGCAGCAGAGAUGGGAGCGCGGCAGCUACAAGCUGAGGGAUGCCAAGCAUGGCUGGCACCACCCAGGAGCCUGGAGAGAGGGAGGGGACAGCCUCCUCCUUAGAGCCUCGAAACACCCUACCCACAUCCUGGCUUCAGACUUCCAGCCUGCACAACUGGGAGAGAAUCACUUUCUGCUGUGUUAAGCUACACUAGUUCAUGGUGAUUUGUUACAGCAGCUGCAGGAAAUGAACACAGACACCAAAUGGAGAUACUGUGUCUGAGAUUGAAGCCAGCACCGUGGAAUCAGAGCUGCCAGGAGGGAGACGUGGACUCUCGACCCUGUGGCCACACUUGGUUCCCCCAGCAGCUGAAGCACGAAGUCUACUGGACUUACUAGACUUUCCAGUUACCUGGACCAAUAUAUUCUCUGUUUUACUUAAGCUGUUUCGAUUGGAUUUCUGGCUAUUUCAACUGAGAGAGGCCUAACUCUCAGUUAUACAGAGACAAUGGAUGUAAAAUGCAUUGAAGGCCAGGCACAGUGGCUCGCGCCUGUAAUCCCAACACUUUGGAAAGCCAAGGCAGGAGGAUGGCUUGAGCCCAGGAGUACGAGACCAGCCUGGGAGACGUGGCAAAACGAAACCCCGUUUCUACAAAAAAAUACAUUAAACCAUUUUAAAAAGAAAAUAUAAAAUGUAUUGCAUGCUGCCUGGCCAAUGGGAGACAGUGGAGUGAAUGUAGGAAGUAGUUAGUAGAGUAAAUGGUAUUUAUUAUUACUGCUAUUGCUGUUGUUUCUAUUUCCAGCUAGGCUGAGCACUCUUGAGUGGCAUAAGGGCCGAGUCUCUAUUGGGCGUGGGAAGCAGGUUCUGAGGGGGUGGGGCCUCCUGUGGAUAGGGGGACAGGAAGCAGGACUGGGCAGGGUGAGGCCAGGCUGGGAUAUGGGCCCGAGGGCAGCCUCAGCCAGCCCCACAGGGGUUCUGGAGCCAGAACUGCUCUUCAGAGUCCCCCUUGGGCCAACGGUGUCAGGCCUUUCUGCUGUUGCAUCCUUCAGUCACUGAAGCUGGUUGCCUGGGAAGAGAACCAGAGAUCCUUGGAGAAAGGGGUGAUCCCAGGACUGGAACAGAGAUAAUGCAAGAUGAGACUGGAACAUCUUUUUGUGUCAGAAAGUAAGGAAGUGCUCAAAGAACAACGCGGACAUGUCAAAAUGACACAGGAGUCUGCCUGAAGGGGCUCCUACUGACUAAAACUGAGAGAAUUUGAGCAUCAAAAGAAAUAAUUACAGUAACGGAUCACAACGCUUUGACUACAGUGGAGAUCCAUGGGUCCAGAUGGAUAUAAGUGAAUGAAUGAAUAAAUAAAUGAGGGAGAAAGGAAAACUCUUACAGUAGAAUGCCAGCUGAUAAAUGUAGAGUGAGUGACAGAAAUAGUCACUGUUUGGCAACCAUCAUAAUGGUGAUUGAUUAAGGUCAGAGUCAUCAAACGAUGCUAAGGCUGGUGGGCGAGAUUUGAUGAGGAACAGGCUUUAUAGUCUUGGCAUCUCCUCACCACAUACCUAUCAAAUGCAAAGGGAAAGACGGUGAGUUUAUGGUGGAGAAAUCUUUCAGGCACCAACCUGACCUGGUGUCAAGGUUAACAUCACUAAUGGUGGGACAGGUCAGAAUCAUAAGCCCAAUGUGUAAUGCCCCGAGGAGAACAUGGCAUCUCUUCUGUGGCAUCCUUGCCAAGAAUGCCCAGCCCCAGAGUGGCAACUGACAGACUCAUUUGGGGGGCCAUAUUCUACCAAAUAAAUGGCCCAAACUUUUGAAGACUGUCAAGGUCACAAAAGACAAGGAGAGAUUGAAGAUCUGUUUCCUAUUCAAGGAAACUAAUGAGGCAUGACAACUCAACGCAGCUCAGAACCCUGACUUGGAACCUGGACCAGAAAGGCAAAUGAGGCAUCAUUGGGACAGUUGGAGAAAUCUGGAUGGGGUCCAUGGGUUGGAGGAUGGUGUUAAAUUAAUUAUGACUUCCUAAUUUGGAGGAUUUAAUGAUAGUAACAAGGAGAAGAUGUUGUGUUGGGGAAAUAUAAACUGGAGUACUUAGGGGUAAUGAGGCAUCGAGUCUAUAAAUUGUUCUGAAAUUCUCAAAUGGUUCAGCAAAAAAAAAAAAAAACAAAAAAAAAACAGAUGCAACUCUCUAUACAUAUAUACAUAGGAAGAGAAAGAGACAGGAAUAGGGAGGCACAGAGAGAGAGAGAAGGCACAAAUAUGGUAAAAUGUUAACAAUCAGAGAAACUGGGUGAAGGGGAUAUAGCAGUUCCUUGUACUGUUCUUGAAAUGUUUCUGGAAGUUUAAAGUUAUUUUAAAAUAAAUUACUAGUGAAUAAACCUAACACCACCCCAGGUUACCCUGCAACUGGCUUUUGCACAGCUCUGCCAACAGGUGCCACUGCAAAUGUGUGGUGCCCAAUGCUCACGAGUGCUUUUACUUGUGGUCAACAGCCCCUUGCGUUCCUGAGACAGAGUUUCCAAACUUUUACCUCUGUCCUCGAGCCCCCACCUGUCUCUCUCCCCAUCCUUUUUUGUCAGAUGACCUAACCCCUAUUUUUCAGAGCAAACAUAGGCCAACCUGGAGAGUCUUCCCUGAAUUUCCCUAACAUGACAAUUUGCAAAUGCUAUACAUCAGGUUAUUGUUGUUUUGGGUUUUGGGGGUUACUUGGAUUUUUUUUUUUUAAGAACUGGAUAUUAAACAUUUACCAAUACACCACUGAGUAUCAAUGUCUCUCAUCUCGUGCUCUUGUCCUAGGGAGUGGGUUGCAGGACGAUUGCGUGGAGUUGUGUAACAGGGCAACCCUGGUAGGGAUUGAUGUUCUGAGGCUGGGCUUGCUGUUGAAUACCUCUGUUGAAUGCCUCUGCAGCUUGCUGCAUUAAUGAAUUGAU
rnacentral:lncRNA from 10 species